rnacentral:rRNA from 1 species
GAGUUUGAUCGUGGCUCAGGAUGAACGCUAGCGGCAGGCCUAAUACAUGCAAGACGAGCGGUAAGCGUUUCAGCAAUGGAAUGUGAGAGCGUCGUAAGGGUGCGUAACACGUAUGCAAUCUGCCCGGAACUGGGGUAUAGCUCGGGGAAACCCGGAUUAACCCCCCAUAAGAUGGUGGUGUGGCAUCACACAGCCAUUAAAACUGAGGUGGUUCUGGAUGAGCAUGCGGAUGAUUAGCUAGUUGGUGGUGUAACGGACCACCAAGGCGAUGAUCAAUAGGGGAACUGAGAGGUUGAUCCCCCACACUGGCACUGAGAUACGGGCCAGACUCCUACGGGAGGCAGCAGUAGGGAAUAUUGGACAAUGGGUGCAAGCCUGAUCCAGCCAUGCCGCGUGCAGGAAGAAGGCUUUCUGAGUUGUAAACUGCUUUUGCCAGGGGAUAAAAUACGGGUGCGCCCGGAUUGAAGGUACCUGGUGAAUAAGCCA